CCUACGGGAGGCAGCAGUGAGGAAUAUUGGUCAAUGGGCGUAAGCCUGAACCAGCCAAGUCGCGUGAGGGAUGAAGGUUCUAUGGAUCGUAAACCUCUUUUAUAAGGGAAUGAAGUGUGGGACGUUUCCUGUUUUUUAUGUACCUUAUGAAUAAGGAUCGGCUACCUCCGUGCCAGCAGCCGAUGUAAUACGGAGGAUCCGUGCGUUAUCCGGAUUUAUUGGGUUUAAAGGGUGCGUAGGCGGCCUUUUAAGUCAGCGGUGAAAGUCUGUGGCUUAACCAUAGAAUUGCCGUUGAAACUGGGAGGCUUGUGUAUGUUUGAGGCAGGCGGAAUGAGUGGUGUAGCGGUGAAAUGCUUAGAUAUCACGCAGAACCCCGAUUGCGAAGGCAGCCUGCCAAGCCAUGACUGACGCUGAUGCACGAAAGCGUGGGGAUCAAACAGGAUUAGAUACCCUGGUAGUC
rnacentral:rRNA from 1 species